UACGUAGGGGGCUAGCGUUGUCCGGAAUCAUUGGGCGUAAAGCGCGUGUAGGCGGUCCUGUAAGUCCGCUGUGAAAGUCGGGGGCUCAACCCUCGGAUGCCGGUGGAUACUGUCGGGCUUGAGUACGGAAGAGGCGAGUGGAAUUCCUGGUGUAGCGGUGAAAUGCGCAGAUAUCAGGAGGAACACCAAUUGCGAAGGCAGCUCGCUGGGACGUUACUGACGCUGAGACGCGAAAGCGUGGGGAGCAAACAGG
rnacentral:rRNA from 1 species